UACGGGGGGGGCAAGCGUUGUUCGGAAUUACUGGGCGUAAAGGGCUCGUAGGUGGCCAACUAAGUCAGACGUGAAAUCCCUCGGCUUAACCGGGGAACUGCGUCUGAUACUGGAUGGCUUGAGAUUGGGAGAGGGAUGCGGAAUUCCAGGUGUAGCGGUGAAAUGCGUAGAUAUCGGGAGGAACACCAGUGGCGAAGGCGGUUGCCUGGGGCUUUGCUGACGCUGAUGCGCGAAAGCGUGGGGAGCGAUCCGG
rnacentral:rRNA from 1 species